CACAUUUGUUGUGCAUAUUGAGCCAUUUCUACAGUUUGAGACUCAAAUCCCACUGUGCAGUCGGUGCGAAAGUCUUGUGUCAGGCUCAUUUGUUUUUCUUUUUCAAGUAAGCUUCUCCUAUAUCUGCAGUGAAGUUAACGGAAUGCGUCACGGUGUAUUCGUGAUCUUCUGCGCUUUAGCGCUGUUCGUGCUGUGUGAGACGGGAAGUUUCUUUGGUGUUCCAUGCGAUGUGAAAGGCAAAAUUGUCAACCGGACAGAAAUAUUGAUCCAAUGUGACCAACCUUGCGACCACAAUUCUUCAUUGCCUGACACAACGCCUUGCCACGUGAAGUGCCCUGGUUCUGUGAAGUACCCCUUGGUCAAUCUGCAACCGUGCCGACUCUGCGGAACAUGUGAUAAGGGUCUAUGCAAAAAUAGAACUUCAUGUAAUUGAGCCACAUGGCGGCAGAGCGUACCUGUUGUUCUGCAAUGUUUGAAUAAAAUGUGUUAUAU